UACAGAGGUGGCAAGCGUUGUUCGGAAUUACUGGGCGUAAAGGGCGCGUAGGCGGUCCCGUCAGUCCCUUGUGAAAUCCCCAGGCUUAACCUGGGAACUGCGUCGGAUACUGGAUGGCUUGAAUUCGGGAGAGGGAUGCAGAAUUCCAGGUGUAGCGGUGAAAUGCGUAGAUAUCUGGAGGAAUACCGGUGGCGAAGGCGGCAUCCUGGACCGACAUUGACGCUGAGGAGCGAAAGCUAGGGGAGCAAACGGG
rnacentral:rRNA from 1 species